GCCUAACACAUGCAAGUCGAACGGUAACAGGAAGCAGCUUGCUGCUUCGCUGACGAGUGGCGGACGGGUGAGUAAUGUCUGGGAAGCUGCCUGAUGGAGGGGGAUAACUACUGGAAACGGUAGCUAAUACCGCAUAAUGUCGCAAGACCAAAGAGGGGGACCUUCGGGCCUCUUGCCAUCGGAUGUGCCCAGAUGGGAUUAGCUUGUUGGUGGGGUAACGGCUCACCAAGGCGAGGAUCCCUAGCUGGUCUGAGAGGCUUACCAGCCACACUGGAACUGAGACACGGUCCAGAGUCCUACGGGAGGCAGCAGUGGGAUCUUGCAGAAAACUCGAG
rnacentral:sRNA from 1 species